rnacentral:lncRNA from 1 species
UGAGUGAGGGGACUAAAUAAAUAUUGUUGGGGACCUUUACGUAAUAAGUCUUUUCUAUAAGGAUCAAAUACAAAAUACAGAAGAUCCUUUUUGUGAAAUAAUAUACUGUCAAGGGCUUAUCUGCAAAAUUUCAUUUAGUGGCCAAAUGGGUUCGGGUUUCGGGUUUCGGGUUUGGGUUCAGAUUCGGGUUCCGGGCUCAGAUCUGAACUUGAUUUCAGUUUCGGAUUUUUUUUUUUUUAACCGGGCCCAUGUUGGGCCCACAGUGAACCGAGCCCACUGU